rnacentral:rRNA from 1 species
AUACGUAGGGGGCAAGCGUUAUCCGGAAUUAUUGGGCGUAAAGAGUGCGUAGGUGGUUACCUAAGCAGGGGGUGAAAGGCAUUGGCUUAACCAAUGUUAGCCCCCUGAACUGGGCCACUUGAGUGCAGGAGAGGAAAGUGGAAUUCCUAGUGUAGCGGUGAAAUGCGUAGAUAUUAGGAGGAACACCAGUGGCGAAGGCGACUUUCUGGACUGUUACUGACACUGAGGCACGAAAGUGUGGGGAGCAAACAGGAUUAGAUACCCUGGUAGUCCACACCGUAAACGAUGAGCACUAGGUGUCGGGGGAGCAAUCCUUCGGUGCCGCAGUUAACGCAUUAAGUGCUCCGCCUGGGGAGUACGUACGCAAGUAUGAAACUUAAAGGAAUUGACGGGG